UCAGGGAACCCUCUACAGGGACAUCAUGCAGGAGAACUACGAGAUGGUGACCUCACUGGGAUUCCCCCUUCCCAAACCUGAACUGAUCUCCCACCUGGAAUGAGGGGAAGAGCCAUGAGUGCCCAAUCAUUAGGCCUGUGAGGAAACAGAGAUCCUGAGAGGUGCCUGCACAGGCACAAUGACUCCUGACUGGAUUGUCUCUCUCCCAGCAGAGGAAGUGGAACCAGAGGGGA